rnacentral:rRNA from 1 species
CUACGGGAGGCUGCAGUAGGGAAUCUUCCGCAAUGGACGAAAGUCUGACGGAGCAACGCCGCGUGAGUGAUGAAGGUUUUCGGAUCGUAAAACUCUGUUGUUAGGGAAGAACAAGUACGAGAGUAACUGCUCGUACCUUGACGGUACCUAACCAGAAAGCCACGGCUAACUACGUGGCCAGCAGCCGCGGUAAUACGUAGGUGGCAAGCGUUGUCCGGAAUUAUUGGGCGUAAAGCGCGCGCAGGCGGUCCUUUAAGUCUGAUGUGAAAGCCCACGGCUCAACCGUGGAGGGUCAUUGGAAACUGGGGGACUUGAGUGCAGAAGAGAAGAGUGGAAUUCCACGUGUAGCGGUGACAUGCGUAGAGAUGUGGAGGAACACCAGUGGCGAAGGCGACUCUUUGGUCUGUAACUGACGCUGAGGCGCGAAAGCGUGGGGAACAAACAGGAUUAGAUACCCCUGUAGUC